AGGACGAACGCUGGCGGCGUGCUUAACACAUGCAAGUCGAACGAUGAAAGAGAGCUUGCUCUCUGGAUUAGUGGCGAACGGGUGAGUAACACGUGAGUAACCUGCCCUUGACUCUGGGAUAAGCACUGGAAACGGUGUCUAAUACCGGAUACGAGCUUCAGCCGCAUGGCUAGGAGCUAGGAAAGUAAUUUUUGGACAAGGAUGGACUCGCGGCCUAUCGAGGUAGUUGGUGAGGUAACGGCACACCAAGCCGACGACGGGUAGCCGGCUGAGGAGGGUCGACCGGCCACGACGUGGACUGACGACACGGCCCAGACUCCGUACGGGAGCAGCAGGUAGGGAAUUGUGACAACGAAGUGGGACGAACGCCGUGA
rnacentral:rRNA from 1 species